GCCGGGUGUGGUGGGGCAUGCCUGUAAUCCCAGCAGCUUAGGAGGCUGAGGCAGAAGGAUCUCGAGUUCAAAACCAGCUUCAGCAAAAGUGAAGUGCUGAGCAACUCAAUGGGACACUGUCUCUA
rnacentral:sRNA from 1 species